rnacentral:snoRNA from 1 species
GUGCUGUGAUGACUGCUGUCUUGGUUUCGCUUGUCUCUGAAUUCCAGUGAUGACAUAUACUCUUGGCUGUCUGAGCAU